GAACUGCGAUACGUGAUGUGAAUUGCAGAAUUGUGAAUCAUCGAACUUUUGAACGCACAUUGCGCCUGUUGGUAUUCCAAUGGGCACGUCUGUUUGAGCGUUGUCAAAUCUCGGAUGGCAAUGGAGGAUGCAGGCAGGAGCACCUCUGAAAUACCUCGGCAUUGUGCCACGGCGAAACGUGAAGCAUUGCUGGAUUUUAUACUCUUCAUCCAACCUCAGACAGACGGGAAUACCCGCUGAACUUAA
rnacentral:misc_RNA from 1 species